UACAGAGGGUGCAAGCGUUGUCCGGAAUCAUUGGGCGUAAAGCGCGUGUAGGCGGCCCGGUAAGUCCGCUGUGAAAGUCCAGGGCUCAACCCUGGGAUGCCGGUGGAUACUGUCGGGCUAGAGUGCGGAAGAGGCGAGUGGAAUUCCUGGUGUAGCGGUGAAAUGCGCAGAUAUCAGGAGGAACACCAAUUGCGAAGGCAGCUCGCUGGGACGGUACUGACGCUGAGGCGCGAAAGUGUGGGGAGCGAACAGG
rnacentral:rRNA from 1 species